UAAGCACGAAGCCCCCCUCAAGAUGAGAUUUCCCACUUUUAAAGGUAAGACUCCAAGAAGACCACUUGGUAGAUAGGUCUCAGGUGUAAGAGUAGCAAUACUUUAAGCUAAGAGAUACUAAUAAGUCGAGGACUUGACCUA
rfam:Tissierella praeacuta DSM 18095 genome assembly, contig: EK13DRAFT_scaffold00015.15